AGGCCUAUUAAUAUAUGUGGGAAAGUGCUUGUCCUUGCAUGUCAAAUUAGCCAAAUUAAAGCAUAGUGGCCGGCCAUGCUAUGGGUGGAAACAUGUCACAAACAUGUUAUGUUAGUGAUGUAUGUUAGGAAAAAUAAAAUAAGGAGCAUGGUAAUAAAAUAAUGAAAGGGAAUAUGAUGAGAACAAAGAAAAAAAAAGUGUCCAUCCAUUUUCAUUUCUUUUGGCUGAAAGUUCUAAGGAAGAAGGAAGGAGCUCUUGCUUCAUGUUUGGCUUGGAAGAGGAUUAGGAGGAGGUUCGGCCAUACUUGUGUCUAGGAUAAGGUAUGUUUGAUGUUGUGCCAUGAGACUCAUGCAUGUUUUUAGUUGUUAGCUUGAGUUCUAACUAGCCCAUGGUUCAAAUCUUUGCUAUGUCAUGGAGAUGAUAUUCGGCUAAGGUAGAUUGGUGUUGAUGUCAUUUCCAUGCUAAAAGUGAAGCUUUGUAAUGAUGCAUGUGAUGGUGGAUUGAUGACUCUUGAAUCUUCUUUUUAGCAUUUUUGAGUGAGACAUUAAGUUCUUUGUUUAACCAUGACCAAAAUUGAAAUGGUAUGGUGUUGUGAUGCAUUCGGCCAUGGUAGGAAGUAGAAGAGAAAUGUGGUUGUUGUUCACGUUAUUUAGAUGAGAAAUGGUAGUAAGGUGAAGUGCAAAUGUUAGUGUUUGAUUUACUAGUGUGUAUAUGUGUAUUAGCUGAGUUUUGAAUUUGAAACAAAAUGGUAUGUAGUCAAUACAAGUAACCAUAUUUGUAGGAAGUAUUAAGCAUAUACUCGGCCUCAACCUAGACAUGUAUAUUCGGCCACAUGAGAUAGGUUGGUGUUGCAUGUGUUCGGUUAGAGGCAAGCAUAUUGAUGCUUUUAUCUUGGCUUAGAUAAUCAGCUAAAAGAGAGUGUGGGCUAAAAUGUUGAGUUUGAUUCAUGAUUUCCAUAUAUAUAUGUGACUUUAAUGCCUAAUGUAUAUAUGGGCUAAGUACCUUGAGGUUCUCUUUUGAUGUUCAAAUGAAUUGUGUUAAAUUGCUUAAUGUGAUUAAAAAUGCGCAUGACCAUUGUGUAUUUGAGCUAAAAGGUGGCCAUAUGACCUAUCAAGCUCCUUGUCAUAUUCGGCCAUAAGCUAGCAUAAUGAGACUUUAAUAAGUUAAAUUUGUUUGAAUUAGCUCAAGAGCUUAGAGGACCACAGUUGGAUAAGGGAAAGGAAAAAGUUAUCGAAUAGACGCCGAAAACGUUCGACCACAUCCAAGGUAAGUUUUCGAGCAAUGAGACCUAGUUUAUGAUUUGAUUAAGUCAUAAUGGAUGUGCAUAGAGAUCGUGUUAUAAAGCAAACUAAACCAUGCUGUUUGUAUGUGGCUAGUGAGCCGAAAUGGGAAUGCUUAAUACGUGACUUGUGUUUGAACUCUAAUUGUGAAAAUGAAAUUAGAUGUGUCAUGAUUUAUUGAUAUGUGCAUGAAUGUUCGGAUGAUAACCGGGCUAAGUCCCGAGAGCAUUUGAGCUAGUGGCUAAUUUCGGGCUAUGUCCUGAAGGCAUUUGUGCGAGCUACUAAUUCCGGGCUAAGUCCCGAAGGCAUUUGUGAGAGCUACUAAUUCCGAGCUAAGUCCCGAAGGCUUUUGUGCUAAUUAUUAUACCGGGCUAAGUCCCAAAGGCAUUUGUGCAAGUUACUAUAACCGGGCUAAGUCCCGAAGGCAUUUGAGCUAGUGGCUAUAUCCGGCUAAACUCCGAAGGUACUUGGUUUGGGAACGAGUGAUCUUGCUGUAAUAAUUUAAAUUGAUACGCUCGUAAAACCCAAUAAUGAGGUACGUUUCGUAUAUACAUUAGGGUGGUGAUUCCGUUUAAAUAAUAUUCGCUCAGUAAUUUAAUGAGCUUCCGGCCUUGGCUAAGUUGAUCUUUUGUGUAUGAAUAUAAGGAUUGGUAAUGUGAAGUAAGUAUGAUAUUGAGAAUUUGUGCAUAUGAGAUUAUCCGUUUAGCCAUAUGAUUGCUAUACUUUGGUUGUGUCUAAUUUCAUGGCUCAAUCUUACUAAGCAUUAAAUGCUUACUCCGUUUCUUUGAUUCUCUGUUUUAUAGAUUUUGGGUUCGUAAGCUAUCGGACUCGGGAUUAUUCAAGUCGAAGUCUCCCACACUAUCAAAGCCCCUUUUUGGUACACUUUUGGUUGAACUUUGAAAUGGCAUGUAUAGGACUACCCUUUUUGUUGUUGGUCAUGGACCCUUUGGUUUUGUAUAAAUUUGGAUAGCCAUGCGAAAAUGGCUUAUAUACACUUUGAGCUUAAUAUUAUAAUCGUCUUGUAUGAUGUUCAUUAAGAGGUAUGGAAAUGUUUGGGAACGAUCAGCCAUUGGAAUGGUUAAUCAUGAUCAUAUUUUGUGCUAUAUAUGCUAAAGGGCUAGUUGAAUCAUGGAAACUAUGUAAUAGGUAAAGUUUACCCUAAAGGCUGAUGCUGGCAGCAGCAGUGAUGUGGAUGUGAAAAAUCACUAAAAAUAGUAUGAAUGGAAUUAAAUAGUGAAUAAAUUAUGUAAUCGAACCUUGAUGAAUCUAUGUUCAUAGGAAAGUAACGGAACAGUCAUAUGAACAGUAUAUUAUGAGAUGUUAAAGUUUUCGUGAAACAGGGCCAGAACGGUUUCUGGAUUCCCUGUUCCGACUUUGUAAAUUCAUUAUAAAUUAACCAGAGAUAAUUAGAAGUCAUUCCUUACAUUUAUAGAUUCCUUGUUGAGUCUAUUUUCAUUAGAAACAAACGGCAUCAGUAUUGAAGCCCUGUACAGGGAGAUAUUCAAGUUGUAAUGCGAAAAGGUCAGUGUAGUCGAACCCUGAAAAAGGGAGGAAUUUAACUAAUAAACUGUACUAAUUGGCUUGACCAAAAAUUCUAGAAAAAAAGUUGUAGAUGAAAAUAUGAGUCUAGUUUCAGGAAAAAUUUACGAAACUGGUUUUCGAGUUUUGAAACUCAAGAUAUGAUUUUUAAGGCGACAGUGAUGCAGUAACCAGCUUGUCUGGAAAAUUUUCAAAUGGACUGUGAAAAUAAAUGUAUUAUGUCUGUUAGCACCUCGUGUUCGACUCCGGCAACGGUCUCGGGUACGGGGUGUUACAAUUAAAUUAGUAUCAGAGCUACGGUUUAGUCGAUUCUAGGACUACCGUACUACGUUUGGGUCUAGCUAUACAUGCCAUUAUGUGAUUAUUUGAUAGCGUGGUGAUUUCUGACAUUUGCAAAUGUGUGUAUUUAUAGUAAUGGAUCCCGAUCUCGACCGAGCGGUAGCUGAUGAUCUUGAGAGUGUAGCGCCUGCUCCCGCACAAGGGAUAGCUCCGGCGGACUCUCAACCUAUUGCUAGUAAUCCGAAUGAUGAAGCUAGACAAGCUUUCUAUAGCGUGAGGAAUGAUUGGUUCAACCAAUACAUUCGAACUAAUACGGCUGUUCCACAACCUCCAUUCCCGACUAAUGCCACCCCCGCACCUACAAUACCUCCAGCAACUGACCAAAUAAGGUCAAAUAAGCCCCCAGUUGAUAGAAUCCGAAAACACGGGGCUACUGAAUUUAAGGCUACGGAUAGCGAUGAUGCCGAGCAAGCUGAAUUUUGGUUGGACAACACUAUUCGGGUACUCGAUGAGCUAUCUUGCACACCCGAUGAGUGCCUAAAGUGUACUAUCUCCUUGCUACGUGAUUCUGCCUACUAUUGGAGGAAUACGUUGACUUCUGUUGUGCCCAGAGAGCAAGUAACUUGGGAGUUCUUCCAAACCGAGUUUCGAAAGAAGUAUAUCAGUCAGAGAUUCAUCGACCAAAAACGAAAGGAAUUUCUUGAACUCAAACAAGGUUCCAUGUCGGUUACCGACUAUGAACGAAAAUUUGUGAGGCUUAGCUGAUACGCGCGAGAAUGCAUUUCUUCAGAGGUCGUGAUGUGUAAACAUUUCGAGGAUGGACUGAAUGAUGAUAUAAAGCUGUGUGUUGGCAUUUUAGAAAUCCGAGAAUUUGUGGUACUCGUCGAGCGAGCUUGCAAAGCUGAGGAGCUCAGUAUGGAGAAAAGAAAAGCUGAUAUGGGAGCAAAGGAGUUUCGUAAGAGGUCUUCAGGGAGGCCCUUUCAACAGUCAUCGAAGAAAUUUAGAGAUGAUUUAGGCCGAUCUAGAAAAACUUCGGGCUUUUCUAGACGAGAUCGCGAUCGACCCCCUGUGAGUGCACGAGUCACUUCGAUCGCCAGUGUUGGAACUGAUCGUCGAGACAGAGCGGAGUGCCAGUAUUAUGGUAAAUGGCAUUCGGGGAGUUAUAGAUUCCAUGACCGCUCCUGUUACAAGUGCGGGUCAGUUGACCACUUUAUUAAAGAUUGCCCGAGGUUGUCUGAACAGAAUGUAAAUCAGAGUGGGAAACCCGGUGCUACCACUGCUCGAGGUAGACCAUCUAGAAAUACAGGCAAUGCUAGUGGUGGUCAGAGAGGAUCUAGAGAUGCAACGACCAAAUCUGAUGCUCGUGCUCCUGCUAGAGCUAAUGCUAUACGCGCACGCGAGGAUGCUUCCUCGCCAGACGUUAUUACAUGUACUUUUACUCUCUUUGAUUCUAAUGUGAUUGCUUUGAUUGACCCCGGUUCUACUCAUUCUUAUAUAUGUGAAACCUUAGCAUCCAGUAAGACUUUACCUAUUGAGUCUACUGAGUUCGUUAUUCGGGUGUCAAAUCCCUUGGGUCGUUACGUGCUUGUCGACAAAGUGUGUAAGAAAUGUCCCCUAGUAAUUCGAGGUUCCUGUUUUCCGGCGGACUUGAUGCUUUUGCCAUUUGAUGAAUUUGAUGUUAUCCUCGGUUUAGAUUGGUUGACCGUGCAUGAUGCGGUUGUGAAUUGCAAAAGCAAGACUAUUGAAUUGAGGUGCGUAAAUAACGAGAUAAUCCGAGUGGAGUCUACGGACUUAAAGGCGUUGCCAGCUGUAAUAUCAUCAACGUUGGCCCAGAUAUAUGUAAGAAAGGGGUGCGAAGCAUACCUUGCGUAUGUACUUGAUGACAAAGAGUUAGAAAAGAAACCCGAAUCUGUGCCGGUGGUUUGUGAAUACCCGGAUAUUUUUCCCGAGGAAUUACUGGGUUUACCACCUGUUCGGGAGGUAGAGUUUGGUAUUAAGCUUGUACCUGGGACUACGCCGAUUUCGAUAGCUCCGUAUCGUAUGGCACCAACCGAGUUAAAAGAGUUGAAAGCUCAGUUGCAAGAAUUGACGGAUAGAGGUUUCGCUCGACCAAGUUUCUCUUCUUGGGGUGCACCAGUAUUGUUUGUGAAAAAGAAGGACGGAACCAUGAGGUUGUGCAUCGACUAUCGUCAGCUGAAUAGAGUGACAAUAAAGAAUAAAUAUCCGUUACCGCGUAUUGACGAUUUGUUUGAUCAACUAAAGGGAGCCUCGGUGUUUUCAAAGAUAGAUUUGAGACCGAGUUAUUACCAGUUGCGAAUUCGAGAUUCGGAUAUACCCAAAACUGCUUUUAGAACGAGAUACGGUCACUACGAGUUCUUAGUGAUGCCGUUUGGGCUCACUAAUGCCCCUGCGGUAUUUAUGGAUUUGAUGAAUCGGAUCUUCAGACAGUAUUUGGACUGGUUCGUAGUUGUGUUCAUUGAUGACAUCUUGGUCUAUUCAAGAGAUGAGACCCAACAUGCUGAGCACCUGAGAUUAGUGUUGCGAAUUUUACGGGAUAAGCAGUUAUAUGCUAAGUUCAGUAAGUGUGAGUUCUGGUUAAGAGAGGUUAGCUUCUUGGGUCAUGUGGUAUCCGCAUCGGGUAUUCGAGUUGAUCUGAGCAAAAUUUCAGCCAUACUUAAUUGGAAGCCUCCUAGAAAUAUUACUGAGGUUCGGAGCUUUUUGGGACUUGCCGGUUACUACCGACGGUUUGUAAAAGGUUUCUCGAUGAUAGCCACACCGAUGACAAAACUACUUCAGAAAGAUGUUAAGUUCGAAUGGAUGGAAAAAUGUCAGAUUUUGAUCAACUGAAAACUUAUUUGAUUAAAGCUCCAAUUCUAGUGCAGCCCGAAUCAGGCAAGGAGUUCGUCAUUUAUAGUGAUGCAUCCCUACUUGGGUUGGGUUACGUAUUGAUGCAAGAAGGUCGAGUUUUGGCCUAUGCGUCGAGAUAAUUAAAGCCACAUGAGAAAAAUUAUCCGACCCAUGAUCUUGAACUAGCUUUCAUUGUGUUCGCCUUGAAAAUAUGGCGACAUUACUUAUUUGGUGAGAAGUGCCAUGUAUUUUCAGAUCUCAAAAGUCUCAAAUAUUUGAUGACUCAAAGAGACUUAAAUCUACGACAAAGACGUUGGAUCGAGUUGUUAAAAGAUUAUGAGCUUGUCAUUGACUAUCACCCGAGAAAGGCUAAUGUGGUUGCGGAUGCCUUAAGCCGUAAAUCACUGUUUGCUUUACGAGCAAUGAAUGUACACUUUUCUGUUCUAUCCGACAAUGUGUUAGUGGCGGAAUUAAAGGCCAAACCAUUGUUGAUUCAUCAAAUUCGUGAAGCUCAGAAAGUCGAUGAUGAAUUGGUUGCAAAACGGGCUGAAUGUGUUCCGAAUAUGGAAUCAGAGUUUCAAAUUGAUGAUGACGAUUGUUUGAGGUUCAGAAGUUGGUUGUGUGUUCCAAGAAAUUCACAACUCAUUUCGAUGAUUCUGAACGAUGCUCAUUGUAGCCGAAUGUCAAUUCACCCGGGGAGUACGAAAAUGUACAACGAUCUGAGACGUCAGUUUUGGUGGCAUGGCAUGAAACGAGACAUUUCCAAUUUUGUCUCGAAGUGUUUAAUAUGUCAGCAAGUGAAGGCGGAACAUUAAGUGUCUACGGGUUUACUUCAGCCGAUCAUGAUACCUGAAUGGAAAUGGGAUAGAAUCACGAUGGAUUUUGUGUCUGGGUUGCCAUUGUCGACAAGUAAGAAAGCUGCGAUUUGGGUUGUUGGUGAUAGACUGACUAAGUCGGCUCAUUUUAUCCCCAUACAUACGGAUUUUUCAUUGGAUAAACUAGCUGAAUUGUAUGUUUCUCAGAUUGUGAGAUUACACGGGGUACCGAUUUCUAUUGUGUCGGAUAGAGAUCCGAGAUUCACCUCGCGAUUUUGGAAGAAAUUGCAAGAAGCUUUGGGUACCAAGCUGCAUUUUAGCACCGCUUUUCAUCCACAAACCAAUGGUCAAUCCGAGCGGAUAAUUCAGAUACUUGAGGAUAUGUUGAGAUGUUGCAUCCUCGAGUUUAGUGGCUCAUGGGAGCGGUAUUUACCUUUGAUUGAAUUCGCUUACAACAAUAGUUUUCAAUCAAGUAUUAAGAUGGCACCUUACGAGGCUUUGUACGGGCGUAAAUACCGUACACCAUUGUUUUGGACCGAGCUCGGUGAAAGUAAAAUUUUCGGAGUUGAUUUGAUUAAAAAUGCUGAACGGAAAGUAAAAGUAAUCCAUGAAAGUCUGAAGGCAGCCACAGAUCACCAGAAGUCGUACGCGGAUUUGAAACGAAAAGACAUUGAGUAUCAGGUGGGAGACAAAGUGUUUCUUAAGGUUUCACCUUGGAAAAAGAUACUCAGAUUUGGCCGUAAGGGCAAAAUGAGUCCGAGAUUCAUUGGGCCGUAUGAAAUAUCCGAACGAGUUGGUCCAGUUGCGUAUAGAUUGAUUUUGCCCCCUGAACUUGAAAAGAUUCACGACGUCUUUCAUGUUUCGAUGCUUCGAAGUUAUAGAUCUGAUCCAUCGCACAUAAUUAAUCCAUCAGAGGUUGAAAUUCAACCUGAUAUGAGUUAUGAAGAAGAACCGAUUCGUAUCCUGGCUCGUGAAGUGAAAGAGUUACGAAACAAAAGGGUUCCGUUAGUGAAAGUGUUAUGGCUUAAACACGGGAUCGAAGAAGCUACUUGGGAAACCGAGAAUGCCAUGAAAGAACGAUACCCAAACCUAUUUACCGAUAAGAUUUUCGGGGACAAAAAUUUCUUAAGUGGGGGAGAGUUGUGACAGCCCUAAAUUGACCCUAGUCGGAAAGUGGUUUCGGGACCACGAAACCGAGUCUUAUAAAAAAAUUAAAGGUUAUAUUCUGUGUUUAUGAUGUGCGUAAAUGCUUGUGUGAUAGUUCCAUACUUUAAUUUGGUCAGUGUAUGUGAAAUUUAUUAGUAGGGACUUAUGUG
rnacentral:lncRNA from 1 species